GGAUGUGAUCAUACCAGCACUAAAGCACCAGAUCCCAUCAGAACUCCGAAGUUAAGCAUCCUUGGGUGAGAGUAGUACUAGGAUGGGUGACCCCUCCUGGCAAGUCCUCGUGUUGCAUUCC
rnacentral:rRNA from 1 species